rnacentral:tRNA from 1 species
UGUCUAUAUAGUUUAAUCAAAACACUAGACUGUGAACCUAGAAAUAGAAAAUAUUCUUAUAGACC